UCACUUAYAGAUGGGCCCGCGGYGCAUUAGCUAGUUGGUGAGGUAAYGGCUCACCAAGGCRACGAUGCRUAGCCGACCUGAGAGGGUGAUCGGCCACACUGGGACUGAGACACGGCCCAGACUCCUACGGGAGGCAGCAGUAGGGAAUCUUCCGCAAUGGACGAAAGUCUGACGGAGCAACGCCGCGUGARYGAWGAAGGCYUUCGGGUCGUAAARYUCUGUUGUUAGGGAAGAACAAGUACSAGAGUAACUGCUSGUACCUUGACGGUACCUAACCAGAAAGCCACGGCUAACUACGUGCCAGCAGCCGCGGUAAUACGUAGGUGGCAAGCGUURUCCGGAAUUAUUGGGCGUAAAGCGCGCGCAGGYGGUUYCUUAAGUCUGAUGUGAAAGCCCACGGCUCAACCGUGGAGGGUCAUUGGAAACUGGGGAACUUGAGUGCAGAAGAGRAAAGYGGAAUUCCAMGUGUAGCGGUGAAAUGCGUAGAGAUKUGGAGGAACACCAGUGGCGAA
rnacentral:rRNA from 1 species